rnacentral:lncRNA from 1 species
GACUGCCUCUGCCUCUGCCUCUGCCUCUGCCUCUGCCUCUGCCUCUGCCUCUGCCUCUGCCUCUGCCUCUGCUUCCGCUGAAGGCCAGCCAGUGAAGCACCCACUCCUGCUUCCUCUGGGCUCCACCCUGUCUGGGCUCCAGAGCUCUCCCUGGGGAGUACACUCUGAGCCACAUCACCCUCUCAAGUUCUAUUCCUGCCUUGUUUUCUCCUCCCUGUGUCUUGCAUCUGAGCUGCUUUGGGGGUGAAGAAACCUUUUCGUGGAAACAGGCUGUGAGGCCCUCUGUUCCACCUGGGCUUUUCCAUGGCUGCCAAGAGGGGCCCAGCUCCUGCUCCUUCUCUUUCCCCAGCCUGAUGCUCAAGCCCUGCCAGGUCCUUGCUGCCGGGAGUACCGGGCUGGCACAUUCCAGAGAGAACACCAUUGGGUGAUGACACCUUUUAACCUGUCUUAGGGAGGAGGGUUUGGGAGACUGGACUCUGCAGGAGAACAGAAUGUCACUACAGUCAGUGACAGCGUGGAAGCCAGGAGCACCUGGUGGGGGCAUGGUCCACAUAACUGAGCUUGGACCCAAACCCUCGUUUCAGCAGCAUCAAAUGGACCCAGUCAACUCCCCCAGGCAUCGAAUGUCUGCAGGAGGAGACACAGGUGCUGAGGAUGCUGGACUCUUUUCUCUGUUCCUGAAACCUCUCCAAGGCAGUUUCCUCUUCCCUCUGCAGCAGCUGCAGGUAAGGAAAGGCAAGGGAAGCAAGGGAAAGAGAGGGAGGGAAAGGAGGGGAGGCAGGGGAGGGAGGGGAGGGAAGAGAGAGGAAGGGGACUCUGUUUAUUUUCUCCCUGCAGCUCCUGAUCCUGCUCUUUCCCCUUCAGGAAUGCACAGUCUCCCCUCUCACUGUCACCGUUCUCUGCACCAUAUCUCCCCGUAAUAAAAAACAGUCCUCCCGUGGCAUCUAUACCCCCCCCAACAGUUUAGGACCAUUAUAUUAAAUAAUGAUAAUCACAAG